rnacentral:rRNA from 1 species
GAUGAACGCUGGCGGCGUGCUUAACACAUGCAAGUCGAACGGUAAAGCCCAGCUUUCUUGGUGUGCUCGUGGCGAACGGGUGAGUAACACACGAGUAACCCGUCCUUUUCUCUGUGAUAAGCCUUGAAAACUCUGUCUAAUAUCGCAUAGGAGCGUUCACCGCACGUGGGGUGUUGGGAAGAUUUGUCGGUUUUGGAUGGACUCGCGGCGUAUCAGCUUGUUGGUGUGGUAAUGGCUCACCAAGGCGACGACGGGUAGCCGGCCUGAGAGGGUGACCGGCCACACUGGGACUGAGAUACGGCCCAGACUCCUACGGGAGGCAGCAGUGGGGAAUAUUGCACAAUGGGCGGAAGCCUGAUGCAGCGACGCCGCGUGAGGGAUGACGGCCUUCGGGUUGUAAACCGCUUUCGGUAGGGAAGAAGCGAGAGUGACGGUAACUGGAGAAGAAGCACCGGCUAACUACGUG